rnacentral:rRNA from 1 species
GAAGGGGGCUAGCGUUGCUCGGAAUUACUGGGCGUAAAGGGCGCGUAGGCGGACAGUUUAGUCAGAGGUUAAAGCCCAGGGCUCAACCUUGGAAUCGCCUUUGAUACUGGCUGUCUUGAGUACGGGAGAGGUGUGUGGAACUCCGAGUGUAGAGGUGAAAUUCGUAGAUAUUCGGAAGAACACCAGUGGCGAAGGCGACACACUGGCCCGUUACUGACGCUGAGGCGCGAAAGCGUGGGGAGCAAACAGGAUUAGAUACCCUGGUAGUCCACGCCGUAAACGAUGAGUGCUAGUUGUCGGCAUGCAUGCAUGUCGGUGACGCAGCUAACGCAUUAAGCACUCCGCCUGGGGAGUACGGUCGCAAGAUUA